rnacentral:rRNA from 1 species
AGGUAAGCUACUAAGAGCGAAUGGUGGAUGCCUUGACUGGUAAAGGCGAUGAAGGACGUACUAGACUGCGAUAAGCUACGGGGAGCUGUCAAGAAGCUUUGAUCCGUAGAUUUCCGAAUGGGGCAACCCAAUGUAUAGAGAUAUACAUUACCUAUAUAGGAGCGAACGAGGGGAAUUGAAACAUCUUAGUACUCUCAGGAAAAGAAAUCAAUAGAGAUUGCGUCAGUAGCGGCGAGCGAAAGCGCAAGAGGGCAAACCCAGUGCUUGCACUGGGGGUUGUAGGACUGCAAUGUGCAAGAGCUGAGUUUAGCAGAACAUUCUGGAAAGUAUAACCAUAGAGGGUGAUAGUCCCGUAUGCGAAAAACAAACCUUAGCUAGCAGUAUCCUGAGUAGGGCGGGACACGAGGAAUCCUGUCUGAAUCCGGGUCGACCACGAUCCAACCCUAAAUACUAAUACCAGAUCGAUAGUGCACAAGUACCGUGAGGGAAAGGUGAAAAGAACUGAGGUGAUCAGAGUGAAAUAGAACCUGAAACCAUUUGCUUACAAUCAUUCAGAGCCCUAUGUAGCAAUACAGGGUGAUGGACUGCCUUUUGCAUAAUGAGCCUGCGAGUUGUGGUGUCUGGCAAGGUUAAGCAAACGCGAAGCCGUAGCGAAAGCGAGUCUGAAUAGGGCGCUUAGUCAGAUGCUGCAGACCCGAAACGAAGUGAUCUAUCCAUGAGCAAGUUGAAGCUAGUGUAAGAACUAGUGGAGGACUGAACCCAUAGGCGUUGAAAAGCCCCGGGAUGACUUGUGGAUAGGGGUGAAAGGCCAAUCAAACUUCGUGAUAGCUGGUUCUCUCCGAAAUAUAUUUAGGUAUAGCGUUGUGUCGUAAUAUAAGGGGGUAGAGCACUGAAUGGGCUAGGGCAUACACCAAUGUACCAAACCCUAUCAAACUCCGAAUACCUUAUAUGUAAUCACAGCAGUCAGGCGGCGAGUGAUAAAAUCCGUCGUCAAGAGGGAAACAACCCAGACUACCAGCUAAGGUCCCUAAAUCUUACUUAAGUGGAAAACGAUGUGAAGUUACUUAAACAACCAGGAGGUUGGCUUAGAAGCAGCCAUCCUUUAAAGAAAGCGUAAUAGCUCACUGGUCUAGUGAUUUUGCGCGGAAAAUAUAACGGGGCUAAAGU